rfam:Acidovorax temperans strain KY4 Contig_90, whole genome shotgun sequence.
ACGGGGGUACGCGACUGGCGAUAGGCGUGGCACUUUUCAGGUGUCACCGCUGACGUGGAAAACAACAAGAUCCGUCAUCUUGUGAACCACUGGGGAGCGUGCCGCGAAGGACCUGGGCCUGAGCGUUCCGCCGUUCGCCUGGGCAGCCCUU